rnacentral:lncRNA from 1 species
AAAUAUCAAAACAUGAAUCUGCUGAAAGUUCUUUAAGGAUUUCCCAUUGCUCUCAGGUCAAUAGUAAAUUUCUGUCAUGGGAAAACAGCAUAUUUAGUGUUUUUCAGAGUGCUGUCCUGCUCUGAUGCUGACACUCUUAGUCUCUCACCCCCUAGAUUUCCCAAGCAGGAGGGCCACUCAAUUUCUGCAUCAACCAAAUGCAAGGAACACACUUGAAGGCUCUCCAAGUGGUCCUGCUGAAGUCCCCAUCACUUCUCGUGAGUUGAGAAAAACUUAGCACUGGAACAGUUCGCUAAAGAACUCUCUUAACAAAGCCUACCCACACUCAUUUAGAAGUGGUCGAGGAGACUGAACUGAGACAAAUAACAGCCUGGGCUCUUAGUGUCAACUUGCCUGGUUUCAAACGCUUGUGCCAGAUAAUCUUGG